rnacentral:rRNA from 1 species
AUACGGAGGAUCCGAGCGUUAUCCGGAUUUAUUGGGUUUAAAGGGUGCGCAGGCGGAAUAUUAAGUCGGCGGUGAAAUUUUGCAGCUUAACUGUAAAAGUGCCUUCGAAACUGGUUUUCUUGAGUGUAGAUGAAGUAGGCGGAAUUUGUGGUGUAGCGGUGAAAUGCAUAGAUAUCACGAGGAACUCCUAUUGCGCAGGCAGCUUACUAAACUACUACUGACGCUCAUGCACGAAGGCGUGGGGAUCAAACAGGAUUAGAUACCCUGGUAGUCCACGCAGUAAACGAUGAUUACUCGCUGUUUGCGAUACAAUGUAAGCGGCCAAGCGAAAGCGUUAAGUAAUCCACCUGGGGAGUACGUUCGCAAGAAUGAA